GGGAGGCGGCUAACACCCACCCGUGUCUACAUACUCUUGUUGCUUUGGCGGGCCGUGGCCUCCACUGCGGGCUCUGCUCUGCUCGUGUGUGCCCGCCAGAGGACCAAACUCUGAAUGUUAGUGAUGUCUGAGUACUAUUUAAUAGUUAAAACUUUCAACAACGGAUCUCUUGGUUCUGGCAUCGAUGAAGAACGCAGCGAAAUGCGAUAAGUAAUGUGAAUUGCAGAAUUCAGUGAAUCAUCGAAUCUUUGAACGCACAUUGCGCCCUGUGGUAUUCCGCAGGGCAUGCCUGUUCGAGCGUCAUUUAACCACUCACGCCUGGCGUGGUGUUGGGGCACGCGGUCUCGCGGCCCUCGAAAGCAGUGGCGGCGCCGGUGGGCUCUAAGCGUAGUACAUACUCCCGCUAUAGAGUUCCCUCGGUGGCUCGCCAGAACCCCCUAAUUUUUACCGGUUGACCUCGGAUCAGGUAG
rnacentral:rRNA from 1 species